UGAACAUACCUUAAUGUUGCCUCGGCGGAUCAGCCCGCGCCCCGUAAAACGGGACGGCCCGCCAGAGGACCCAAACUCUAAUGUUUCUUAUUGUAACUUCUGAGUAAAACAAACAAAUAAAUCAAAACUUUCAACAACGGAUCUCUUGGUUCUGGCAUCGAUGAAGAACGCAGCAAAAUGCGAUAAGUAAUGUGAAUUGCAGAAUUCAGUGAAUCAUCGAAUCUUUGAACGCACAUUGCGCCCGCUGGUAUUCCGGCGGGCAUGCCUGUUCGAGCGUCAUUUCAACCCUCAAGCCCCCGGGUUUGGUGUUGGGGAUCGGCUCUGCCCUUCUGGGCGGUGCCGCCCCCGAAAUACAUUGGCGGUCUCGCUGCAGCCUCCAUUGCGUAGUAGCUAACACCUCGCAACUGGAACGCGGCGCGGCCAUGCCGUAAAACCCCAACUUCUGAAUGUUGACCUCGGAUCAGGUAGGAAUACCCGCUGAACUUAAGCAUAUCAAUA
rnacentral:rRNA from 1 species